rnacentral:tRNA from 1 species
GCUCUGAUAGCUCAGUGGUUAGAGCGUCGUGCUAAUAACGCGAAGGUCCGGGGUUCGACCCCCCGUCGGAGCA